CUGAAAUUCGCCUUCAUGAAGCUGGAAUUGCUAGUAAUGGCAGGUCAGCAUACUGCCGUGAAUACGUUCCCGGGCCUUGUACACACCGCCCGUCACACCAUGAGAGUUGGGAAUACCCGAAGCCUGUGAGCUAACUUAUAGAGGCAGCAGUCGAAGGUAGAAUCAAUGAUUGGGGUGAAGUCGUAACAAGGUAAC
rnacentral:rRNA from 1 species